GCAUGAAUGGAGGCCAUUGCGACCCAGUGUCGGGAACUUGUGAUUGCGCGCCUGGUUUCAUUGGAGCCGACUGUAGUAAAACUUGCCCAGAAAAUCGAUACGGGAAGGACUGCGCCCUGUUUUGUGCAUGUGGUAAAGGUCAGUGUGACCCACGGACUGGCAGCUGUACCUGUCCUCCUGGCCAAAUGGGACCUGGCUGCCAACAAGUGUGUCCCCAGGGAUGGUUCGGCCCCAGCUGCCGCCUGACGUGCAGCUGUCAGAACGGUGCUAUCUGUGACCACGUGGAUGGCAGCUGCACUUGUGGACUCGGCUGGACAGGAAAAUCGUGUGAGAAAGAAUGUCUUCCUGACAAGUAUGGCCCCAGCUGCAGCUUGGACUGCUCAUGCCAGCACAACGGCACCUGCGAC